rnacentral:rRNA from 1 species
UAUCUCUGUAGAGUCUGCAUAUCAAUAAGCGGAGGAAAAGAAACUAACAAGGAUUCCCUUAGUAACGGCGAGUGAAGCGGGAAGAGCUCAAAUUUGAAAUCUUCAAGGUUUUACCUUGACGAAUUGUAGUUUAAAGAAGUGUUUUCUGUUGGUAGUUUUGGUAAAAGUUCUUUGGAAUAGGACAUCAUAGGAGGGUGAGAAUCCCGUAUUUGACCAUUACUUCCAGCGUUGUGAUACACUUUCAAAGAGUCGGAUUGUUUGGGAAUGCAGUCCAAAAUGGGUGGUAAAUUUCAUCUAAAGCUAAAUAUUGGCGAGAGACCGAUAGCGAACAAGUACCGUGAGGGAAAGAUGAAAAGAACUUUGAAAGAGAGUUAAACAGUACGUGAAAUUGUCAAAAGGGAAGCGUUUGACACCAGUGUUGUUUUCUCGAAAAUCAAUUAAAAAAAGUUGGAUUUUGUAUUGUUAAGACCUUAUCAGCUUACUGUACUCUUUUCUUGCUUUUUUAAUGCACUUUUCGUUUAACAAGUCAACAUCAAUUUCUUUUGUUGUAAAAGAGGUCAUUGGAAGGUGGCUUUCCUUUCGGAUGAAAGUGUUUAUAGCCUUUGGCUUCUGCAAUCGGAGAGAUUGAGGUCUGCAGCGUAGAUCCUUCGGGGCUAGAUACACUUAGAUGCUAAGUUAUAGUUUUUUAUAGACAACUUGUUGACUAUAAUUAAUCAUGUAGCCUACUCGUUUGCGCUAUUUUACCUACGCUUAGGAUGUUGAUAGUCACAGCGUGUAC